GUGGAGUUAAGCAUAGCCCAGAUGAAAUAAGGCAAAAUUACAUGACAAAAUUACUGGCUGGGAAAUAGACAUGAUAGCAUAGAGGACAGAUAUUAGCCAAUAUUGGGUGUUGAUUAAGAUUUAUUACAAAUAUAAAAGUUGUGUGUGUUUUACCUGGAAAAGAAAUGUCCAAGGCUGGGGUGGAAACCCUGGUUUGGGACUGCAAUACCUUAGACAUUUUAUCACAACAACAAAAAGGCACUAAUACUCACCAACAGUGUUUCAUACCUGAAUGAGUUAUUGCAUGGACUUAAAGUGAAAUGUGAAUUCUAAACCAGUUACCUCAUCAAUGAACCUCAUAAAGCUUUUGUCCCUAUGAGUUUCCAGGUAGGAACAAAACAGAGACAUCAUCAUGCUUGAGCAGAUAGUUGACAGUUGCUAAAGGUUUUCUCAAGAAUAAAUAAUGUUGUGUAAAUUAAUAUAAAUGGGUUGGCCCAAGAUGGAACCAUGUCCGUCAGAGUCAUAGAUUGCCUUAUUUUUGAGUUCUUUAAAGUCCUAAAAGAUUAUUGUGACAUGCAAACUUUAACCGAUCCAGUACAUGCUAAAGGUUUAUUCACACAUACAGAUAUUGUGAAGUACAAAUAUUUCCACAGUGGCUCCAUUUACAGGGUUACCCUGCAGCAUGGAGUUUUCUCAAGAAAAAACGACUGGUCCACACACAAGCUUUACCACAUUCCUUAUUUUUAUGAGGUUUCUUACAAGUCUAUGUUAAGUUAUACAUUAUGAGAUGAAUGUCAAUGUCAACUGCAGAGGCCUUACCACAUUAUUCACACACAGUUUCUCUCUCCAGUGUCUUCUUUUAUGUAUUCUGAGAUAUAUCAUGUGCUCUUUUAUGCAUUCAAAGAUAACUGUGAUAUGCAAAGGUUUACCACAUUGUGUAUAUUUAUACAGUCUCUCUGUAUCUCUCUCUGUCUCUCUCUCUCCUGUAUGUGCUCCUUGCUGCAUUAGGAGAUAACUGCUUGGCAUAGACUUUUCCACAUUGCUUAUACUCAGAAGGAUUCUGGCCCCUACAAAUAUGUUCAUGACGAUUAAGACUAUGAUCACAUUCACAGUCUUUCUCUUCAGUAUGUUCACUUAUACAUUCAGAAAUGAUGGCGUUAUAAAAAGGUUGCUCACAUCCAUUUCCUUCAUAACUUUUUUUUCCAAUGUGGAUUCUUUUAUUCUUUUAAAGAUGACCAUGUCUUGAAAAGACUUACACACACAAUGAAUAAACUUGUAAGGUUUCUCUCUAGUAUGUCUUCUCUCAUGACUUUGUAGAUUAUAAUGGUGGGAAAAAGUUUAAUCACAUUCCUUACAUUUGAAGGGUUUCUCUCUGGUAUGUGUUCUUUUAUGAACUUGAAGAGUACUGUGUCGUGAAAAGGCUUUAUCACAUUCAUUACAUUUGUAGAUUUGUAGGGUUUCUCUCAGGUAUGUGUUCUUCUAUGAGUUUGAAGAGUACUGUGUUGUGAAAAGGCUCUAUCACGUUGAUUACAUUAGUAGGGUUUUUCUACAGUAUGUAUCCUUAUAUGUGUUUGGAGAUGAUGUUUACAGGAAAAGGCUUUAUCACACUGAUUACAUUUGAAGGGUUUCUCUCCGGUAUGUGUUCUUCUAUGAGUUUGAAGAGAACUGUGUUGUGAAAAGCCUUUACCACAUUCAUUACAUUUGUAAGGCUUCUCUCUAGUAUGUGUUCUUAUAUGAUUUUGGAGGUGAAAGUGUCGUGAAAAGACUUUAUCACAAAGAUUACAUUGGAAGGGUUUGUCUCUGGUAUGUGUUCUUCUAUGAGUUUGAAGAUUACCUUGGUGUAAAAAGGCUUUAUCACAUUGAUUACAUUUGUAGGGUUUUUCUCCAGUAUGUAUCCUUAUAUGUAUUUGGAGAUUCUGUUUAUAGGAAAAGGCUUUAUCACAUUGAUUACAUUUGUAGGGUUUUUCUCCAGUAUGUAUCCUUAUAUGUAUUUGGAGAUUCUGUUUAUGGGAAAAGGCUUUAUCACAUUGAUUACAUUUGUAGGGUUUUUCUCCAGUAUGUGUCCUUAUAUGUGAUUGGAGACUACCUUUCUCUGAAAAGGCUUUGUCACAUUCAUUACAUUUGAAGGGUUUCUCUCCGGUAUGUGUUUUUCUAUGAGUUUGAAGAGUUUUGUGAUGUGAAAAGGCUUUAUCACAUUGAUUACAUCUGUAAGGCUUUUCUCCAGUAUGUGUUCUUAUAUGAUUUUGGAGGUGAAAGUGUCGUGAAAAGACUUUAUCACAAAGAUUACAUUUGUAGGGUUUUUCUCCACUAUGUAUCCUUAUAUGGUUUUUGAGAAUAUGUUUAUGGGAAAAAGCUUUAUCACACUGAUUACAUUUGUAGGGUUUUUCUCCAGUAUGUAUCCUUAUAUGUAUUAGGAGACUCUGUUUAUGGGAAAAGGCUUUAUCACACUGAUUACAUUUGUAGGGUUUCUCUCCAGUAUGUAUACUUAUAUGUUUUUGGAGACUACCUUUCUCUGAAAAGGCUUUGUCACAUUCAUUACAUUUGAAGGGUUUCUCUCCAGUAUGUGUCCUUCUAUGAUUUUGGAGAUUACCAAAUUGGGAAAAGGCUUUGUCACAUUCAUUACAUUUGAAGGGUUUCUCUCUGGUAUGUGUUCUUCUAUGAGUUUGAAGAUUACAAUGAUGUGAAAAGGCUUUUUCACACUGAUUACAUUUGAAGGGUUUUUCUCCAGUAUGUGUCCUUAUAUGUCUUUGGAGACUAUAUUUAAGGGAAAAGGCUUUAUCACACUGAUUACAUUUGUAGGGUUUCUCGACAGUAUGAAUUCUUUCAUGCCUUUUAAGAAGACUGGGACAUGCAAAUCCUUUACCACAUUGUUUAUAUUCAUACUGUUUCUGGCCAGUUUGUGCUCUUUUAUGUACUUGGAGACUUGUGUAAGGUAAAAAGUCUUCGAUGCAGUGAAUAACUUCAGAGGGGAUCUUUUCUGUAUGAAUCCUUUCAUGCCUUUGGGCAUGACUGUGAGCAUGGAAAGCAAAUGCUUUACCAUGUUGAGUAUAUUCAGAGGGUUUCUCUGCACUCUGACUCCUUUCACACCUGAGAAGAGAAAUGGCACAUGUGAGAGCUUUACCA
rnacentral:lncRNA from 1 species